rnacentral:tRNA from 1 species
CGUGCUGUAGCUCAGUGGUAGAGUGCUCACCUUUCAUGUGUGAGGCCCAGGGUUCCAUCCUCAGCACCACAU